GACGUAGGGGGCAAGCGUUGUCCGGAAUUACUGGGCGUAAAGAGUCUGUAGGUGGUUUGUCAAGUCUUUGGUGAAAGGCCGUAGCUUAACCAUGGGAAUGCCAGAGAGACUGGCAGACUGGAGGCUGGGAGAGGGAGGCGGAAUUUCUGGUGUAGCGGUGAAAUGCGUAGAUAUCAGAAGGAAGGCCGGUGGCGAAGGCGGCUUCCUGGAACAGACCUGACACUGAGAGACGAAAGCGUGGGGAGCAAACAGG
rnacentral:rRNA from 1 species